rnacentral:rRNA from 1 species
UAUGGCCAUAUCAAAUUGAAACACCGGUUUCCGUACGAUCACCGACGUUAAGCAACGUCGAAUCAGGUCAGUACAUAGAUGGGUGACCGCUUGGGAAUACC